rnacentral:rRNA from 1 species
GAUGAGCGCUAGCGGCAGGCUUAACACAUGCAAGUCGAGGGGUAACAUAGAAAAGCUUGCUUUUCUGAUGACGACCGGCGCACGGGCGCGUAACGCGUAUACAACCUACCUUUUAGCGGGGAAUAGCCCAGGGAAACUUGGAUUAAUGCCCCAUAGUAUAUAGACUUCUCCUGAAGUUUAUAUUUAAACAUUUAUGGCUAUUAGAUGGGUAUGCGUCCUAUUAGUUAGUUGGUAAGGUAACGGCUUACCAAGGCAGCGAUAGGUAGGGGUCCUGAGAGGGAGAUCCCCACACUGGUACUGAGACACGGACCAGACUCCUACGGGAGGCAGCAGUGAGGAAUAUUGGACAAUGGGCGAGAGCCUGAUCCAGCCAUGCCGCGUGCAGGAAGACUGCCCUAUGGGUUGUAAACUGCUUUUACAGAGGAAGAACCACCCCCACGUGUGGGGGUUUGACGGUACUCUGCGAAUAAGGAUCGGCUAACUCCGUG